CAUUCUCUCUAGCGACAGCUCUGCACCUCAAGUUGCUCCAUCUUCCUUUCUUCCUCCUCCCUUGCUUUCCUCCUUCCCCGAAAGCUCUGUGUCCACUGUGGACAUGCCAUUGGCGCACAUUCUAUUUGGCCUAAAGCUCAGAGGAGGUCAGACAAGGCCAAGCAUCUUCCAAAGGGGAGGGUCCAACUGGGCAAACUAAGUUGCCUGCUACAGUACCACCUGGCUUAGCCGGCCAGCCAGCCCCCCAGUCCCGGUCCCCCUAAUGCUCCGAACACAGUUACCGUGCUCUCUGGACCCCACCCCGCGGUGGCGCAGCAUACACCCAUCCAACACCCGCGCCCACCCUGUUAAUGCCAUCCCCACGCCGGGGUCCCACCGCCAGGCAGAGCACCGAACAAGCUGCGCUCACCUUGCUUGACACACUUGAGCCGGAGGGGGUCCUUGCAGUGUUUGAUCACGGCCAGAACGUCCCUGAUGGUGAGCCCCGCCACGGGGGUCUCGUUCACCUCCAGCAGCAGCUCCUCGGACACCAACUUGCUGCCGCUUUCAUAGGCCACCUUGCCCGGCUUCACCUCCCCCAGGUAGGGGAACUGUCCGUUUUCCGCGCCCCCCUUCAGUUCAAAGCCCAGCUGGCCCUCCGGGUUCCUGCCAAUGACACUCUCGUGGACUUUGCUAGUCCAGUGGCUUUUCUUUUUCAAGCUUUUGGACAUGGCAGUAGGGUGAGUCGCCUCAGUUCCAGAGGGUCCUUUGGGAAGGAGGGUCUGGGAGUCAAAAUCGGGAUGGAGGAGCAAGGGGGCCAAGGGAAGAGGGUGGCAGACUUUGCCUUUCUCUCCCUCUGCUCCGCGCUUUCCCUCUUCUUUGGAUGGAGUGUGGCGGAGGAAGGGGGAGGAUGAGAGGGACGGCUGGGCAGAGGUAGGAGAGCUUGGGUGAGGUUGUGCUGUCCCUUGAAUGACACUCAAGGCUUUGGCCCCGCAGCGGAGGAAGCUGUGGUGGCGUUGGCGGCGUUAGCGGCGGUGGCGGCGGCCGAGCCAGCGCGAGCAGUGGCCGAGCUGGUAUGGCCUACUACCUUCCUUUCUGUAUGAUCUGGGCAAACCGACCGGUGGUGGCAAGAGUAGUGUCAAUGAAGUGAUCCACACAGCAAGAGAGGCAGUUUCAGUGCGGGAGUCUAGCUGAUUUCCUGGCUUCUCCAUGCACUUAUCUCAACAUAGUUCCACGAAGUGAUGCACCUGCGCAGUGAACCCUGCCUUCUGCUGCUCGACAGCCACCAGGCUUUGUAACUCAGUUUCACCAAGCUCUGCCAUUGUCAGCGUCAAGAGCUUCGCUGUGGUACGCAUGCGUGGUCCUGAAAGCAACUUUUGCACUUUAUCAUCAACUCUAAGAUACUCAGGGGCUUCUAUCAAUGAUGAGACACAUCUGCAGAAACCCAUACUCCUUCCAUAGGAUCACACGAUCCUUGUCCAAGGGCGAACACACAGAACAUUGUUCAAACCAUACCAAUCCUGACCGGAGAGAACAGAGACAAACUGACUCACAGGAGAGAGGACCUAAGUACUUUAAUACAUUUUUUGAAAUUAUUAUAAAUUAUUUUACAAUAUCCAGAGCAAAUGAAACUAAUUUAAAAUAUUUUGUAAUACACAAGUCCCCAG
rnacentral:lncRNA from 1 species